GUCCACGCCCUAACGAUGUCAACUGGUUGUUGGGAAUUCACUUUCUCAGUAACGAAGCUAACGCGUGAAGUUGACCGCCUGGGGAGUACGGCCGCAAGGUUGAAACUCAAAGGAAUUGACGGGACCCGCACAAGCGGUGGAUGAUGUGGUUUAAUUCGAUGCAACGCGAAACCUUACCACCUUUGACAUGUACGGAAUCCUUUAGAGAUAGAGGAGUGCUCGAAAGAGAGCCGUAACACAGGUGCUGCAUGGCUGUCGU
rnacentral:rRNA from 1 species